rnacentral:rRNA from 1 species
CCUACGGGAGGCAGCAGUAAGGAAUCUUCCACAAUGGACGAAAGUCUGAUGGAGCAACGCCGCGUGCAGGAUGACGGCCUUCGGGUUGUAAACUGCUUUUAUAUGGGAAGCGGUACCAUAUGAAUAAGGACCGGCUAACUACGUGCCAGCAGCCGCGGUAAUACGUAGGGUCCAAGCGUUAUCCGGAAUCACUGGGCGUAAAGCGUGCGUAGGCGGCGUGUUAAGUGUGAUGUUAAAUCGUGGGGCUCAACCCUAUCGAUGCAUCGCAUACUGGCAUGCUAGAGGAAGGCAGAGGCAAGUGGAAUUUGUAGUGUAGCAGUGAAAUGCGUAGAUAUUACAAGGAACACCAAUGGCGAAGGCAGCUUGCUGGCCUUUCUGACGCUGAGGUACGAAAGCGUGGGGAGCGAACAGGAUUAGAUACCCUUGUAGUC